AUCGCUUCAUGGCCUUUAGGCUAAGAUCAAGUAUAGUAUCUGUUCCUAUCAGUUUAAAAAAAUACAGAUUUUCAUGGAGAGUAAAGGAUUACUCUAUCAUUCUAUAAUGUCUGGCCAGCAAAAACCAUUUUUUUUUUUUUUGGCCGUCGCCGA
rnacentral:snRNA from 1 species